rnacentral:tRNA from 35 species
CAGAUAGCUCAGUCGGUAGAGCAGGGGACUGAAAAUCCCCGUGUCGGUGGUUCGAUUCCGCCUCUGGG